rnacentral:rRNA from 1 species
AUUGAACGCUGGCGGAAUGCUUUACACAUGCAAGUCGAACGGCAGCACGGGGGCAACCCUGGUGGCGAGUGGCGAACGGGUGAGUAAUACAUCGGAACGUGCCCGGUCGUGGGGGAUAACGUAGCGAAAGUUACGCUAAUACCGCAUACGAUCUGAGGAUGAAAGCGGGGGACCUUCGGGCCUCGCGCGAUCGGAGCGGCCGAUGUCAGAUUAGGUAGUUGGUGGGGUAAAGGCCUACCAAGCCGACGAUCUGUAGCUGGUCUGAGAGGACGACCAGCCACACUGGGACUGAGACACGGCCCAGACUCCUACGGGAGGCAGCAGUGGGGAAUUUUAGACAAUGGGCGCAAGCCUGAUCCAGCCAUUCCGCGUGCAGGACGAAGGCCUUCGGGUUGUAAACUGCUUUUGUAUGGAACGAAAAGGCUCUGGCUAAUACCUGGGGCUCAUGACGGUACCGUAAGAAUAAGCACCGGCUAACUACGUG